GGCGGGGGGCGUUGGGGAAGCCGCGGCCUGGACCGGGACCCACAGCGGCGGCUCCACCUGGGGCAGGGCUCUGACCCGCACUCGGCCUGCGGUGUGCACGUCUAGUAGGAGACAAUCACUAAUUGCCUGCUGACUAGAUCGUCAAACAAAAUUCUGAUGACCAGCUGGCUCUAAUUAUUGUCAUUCCUUUGCAGGCCAAGUAUCCCAAAUAGAGUCUGGCAUAGAGAAGUCAAUAGAUGCUUGUGGAAUUGAAUCAGCAUGGACAUGAAGUGAGAAGCUUUCCUUCCUUCAGGAACUCCACCCUACACUGAUCCUUCUUUUUUCAUGCCACCAGCAUCCUACUGACUUUACUUUGUACCUGUCACUGUCACAGCAAGUUGUGUCUCUCUUCACUGAAGCCACAUUUCUGAUUAAUAUGGGCUGAAAUCAUCUUAUGUGGCAAGGGACUGAUUGAGAAAAUACAGAUAAUUCUAAAGAAAGGAUGUAAAAACUCUUCUAAUGAAUCGCUACUAAUCUUCACUGAUGACAAGGGCAUGUACAUCAUGGAACUUAAUUUUUUAUAGAAAUGGGCUAUUUUGGAACAUUCUUCCAUGAUCUCUUUUUCUCAUUUGAUAAUAAUAUGAACAUCCUCCAUAUCAUUAAAUUCUUUUGUAUAGGAAAUUUUUAAUUAUUGUAUGGUUUCAUUAAAUAUAAUAUAGUUUAUAGUAUUUACUGCAUGUGCAUAUGCGUAUAUUCAGAGAGAGAGAGAAUAUAUAUUUAUUUUCACCUACAUC